UCCGACUUAGCUCAGUUGGUAGAGCAAGCGGCUGUUAACCGCUGGGUCGUAGGUUCGAGUCCUACAGUCGGAGCCA
rnacentral:tRNA from 1 species